rnacentral:lncRNA from 1 species
GUGGGGCAGGACAGGCCUGGGAAGAUAAGGAGCACAGGGUUGAGAAGGCAGGAAGAGAGUUGAAGGAACCACUGAAAGUGAGAGAGAAUGUUGUCCUGCGAUUUACUUCAGUGUCCAGCCCAGGUGAACCUUGGAGUGGAAAAGUGGGAACUGUGACUACCCCAUGUUCGUCAUUGCACAUCUCCAAGUUCAAAAUGAAGGUCAGACUGGAAAGCUUGCAGAGAUGUCAGCUUUGUAGUACAAGCAGGAAGAGACAGCAUAGCAACAAAAACACAACAGCGUCUGAGUAAUGGUUCUAAUGAAGAAGAGGGCAACAAGAAGACUUCAGCUACUGGCAACAGAAGAGGAAAACAGUGCAGUCAAGGAGCUUCUUAGCUCUGAGAAUUUGAACUUUCUUUUUUUCUGAAUGAACUGAAACUUCUAAACCCCUAUUGAAGCCUAUCAGUAUGUCAUAAGUUACUAAAAAUAAGUCAGUCAUCGAAACCUAUAAUAAAUGAAAUGUUUUCACUAAGGAUAUUAUAUGU